UACUCGCGGUCCAAGUCGCAGCCACAAUUAUUGGGUUUAAAACAUCCGUAGCUUGCUUUGUAAGUCUUGUGUGAAAUCUCACAUCUUAAGUGUGAGGCGUGCAUGAGGUACUGCAAGGCUAGAGACCGGUAGACGUAAGGAGUACGACCAAAGUAGCGGUAAAAUGCUUUAAUCUUGGUCGGACUAACGACAGCGAAGGCCCCUUACGAGAACGGUUCUGACAGUGAGGGAUGAAAGCUAGGGGCGCAAAAGG
rnacentral:rRNA from 1 species